AGUGAAUUUGAUAACAUCAUUCUUUCUGUCAGGAGCCCUUCCUGUGUUGAACAGCCUGAUGGUGUCAUUCCUCAUCUUUAGUGAUGGUCUUCUUUGAAAAGCUGCAGGAUGUCUUAAUUUCUCUCAGAUUUUGUUUUCGAGGGUUAAUUACUGUGCAAACGACAGAGACGUUGUGAGACCUAUUUAGAGAACGUCCAGCCUGUUAUCACAUACAUCAAGAAAAAGUGCCAGCCCAGUGGCGUCUGCGGCAAUAUAAUUUUGCAAUUAGAUGGGAGACCAUGGAUUGAAAUUUACUUGGGAUCUUUUGCAAGGACAACAAAACUGGAUGCAUUGAAAUACAGGUUGGACACUGAUUCUCACAAUGGAUCUAGAGACUUAAGUGUCAUUUUGCCUGAAGUGCACCGUGUAGCUGCUCACAGCCUUUGCUCAGCUCCUACAGAACCUCAGAGCCACCCAGGUCCCUUAAGCCAGGCAAACCACGACUGGGCAAGAUUAAAGAUCAAACUGUCAUCAAGAAGAGAAGAAAAGAAGAAAGGAAGGAAGCUUAGAUUCUAUAGGGAACAGGUAAAAGAAACUUGUACACAGAUACUUAAAAGUUACUGAGGAAGGACCGAAAAAAGGGAGCUACAAGGUUUUUUUUUUGCAAAGGACAUAUUUUGGUUCUUCUGCAAACACACGCAUGAAUUUGGCCCCAGGGUUGUUUAAUCAAUGUUUGGAUAUCAACAUGAUGUUUCUGAUGCAAUCUUAGCAUUAGGGUAGGAUUACGAGGAACAGUCUUAGUUGAAGCUGUAAGAGUGACAAGCUGGAUUUCCUCCUGCACUAAACAAAGGUUAAGAUGGCCCUCAGGUACUUGGAAAAGGUGAUUUUUGGAUGAACACUGUGUAUUCAACAAAAAACUAAUUAAGCAUCAAAGAGCCACUCUCACUGUAAAGUUUUACACGUUCUUUGAACAAACAUUUUAACUAACAGAAAAUGAUCACUUUUUUCUCUCUGAGCAUAUAUUGCAUACAGAAUUUGGCUGAAUGCUUGAAACCUUGCUGAUUUCCCAAUUCUCAGAUCUACUCUGAGAAAAUAGUGAGCAUAUGCUCCUGUUCAUUUCAAAGUACCUCCUGGUUUUGAAUAGCACCACUUUUUGCUUUCUAAGUUGACCCCUUAAUAGACAAUUUAAAAAAAAAAACAAGACGGAAAUAAGUGGAUAUUUUUGAAAAUUUAGAUAAAGAGUG